rnacentral:tRNA from 1 species
GGAGGAGUACCCAAGCGGCUGAAGGGGACGGUUUGCUAAAUCGUUAGGUUGGUGAAAGCUGGCGCGGGAGUUCGAAUCUCCCCUCCUCCGCCA